rnacentral:rRNA from 1 species
UACGAAGGGAGCUAGCGUUGUUCGGAAUCACUGGGCGUAAAGCGCACGUAGGCGGACGUGUCAGUCAGGGGUGAAAUCCCGGAGCUCAACUUCGGAACUGCCUUUGAUACAGCACGUCUUGAGUCCGGAAGAGGUGGGUGGAAUUCCUAGUGUAGAGGUGAAAUGCGUAGAUAUCUGGAGGAAUACCGGUGGCGAAGGCGGCAUCCUGGACCGACAUUGACGCUGAACGGCGAAAGCUAGGGGAGCAAACGGG